UGGGGAAUAUUGGACAAUGGGCGCAAGCCUGAUCCAGCCAUGCCGCGUGAGUGAUGAAGGCCCUAGGGUUGUAAAGCUCUUUCACCGGUGAAGAUAAUGACGGUAACCGGAGAAGAAGCUCCGGCUAACUUCGUGCCAGCAGCCGCGGUAAUACGAAGGGGGCUAGCGUUGUUCGGAUUUACUGGGCGUAAAGCGCACGUAGGCGGACUUUUAAGUCAGGGGUGAAAUCCCGGGGCUCAACCCCGGAACUGCCUUUGAUACUGGAAGUCUUGAGUAUGGUAGAGGUGGGUGGAAUUCCGAGUGUAGAGGUGAAAUUCGUAGAUAUUCGGAGGAACACCAGUGGCGAAGGCGGCUCACUGGACCAUUACUGACGCUGAGGUGCGAAAGCGUGGGGAGCAAACAGG
rnacentral:rRNA from 1 species